rnacentral:rRNA from 1 species
GAAUAUUGGACAAUGGGGGGAACCCUGAUCCAGCCAUGCCGCGUGUGUGAAGAAGGCCUUUUGGUUGUAAAGCACUUUAAGCGAGGAGGAGGAGCUCUUGGUUAAUACCCACGCUGCCUGGACGUUACCCGCAGCAUAAGCACCGGCUAACUCUGUGCCAGCCGCCGCGGUACUACAGAGGGUGCAAGCGUUAACCGGAUUUACUGGGCGCAAAGCGGGCGUAGGUGGCCAAUUAAGGCAAAUGUGAAAUCCCCGAGCUUAACUUGGGAAUUGCAUUCGAUACUGGUUGGGUAGAGUAUGGGAGAGGAUGGUAGAAUUCCAGGUGUAGGGGUGAAAUGCGUAGAGAUCUGGGGGAAUACCGAUGGCGAAGGCAGCCAUCUGGCCUAAUACUGACACUGAGGUGCGAAAGCAUGGGGAGCAAACA